CAUGAGGUACGUCCUUGGAUCAUUGGAGU
rnacentral:piRNA from 1 species